GAGCCAUUUUUCCACACCCGAUGGAAUAUUGGCCUUCAGAUGUGUUCAGGCCAGGAAUCUUAUCAAACAUGUGAAGUUUGGGGAAGAACGGACAUUUUAUGCCUGAGUUAUAACAUCUUUUAUUCCCAUGGCGAGACAUCGAACUUUGUGACGGCGCCAUGGACACGCCCUUUAACGAAAACUCAAGAUCUUCACAAUUUAACAUCGCACAGGCCUUUAGAAUAGAGUGACUGAAAAAAAAAAAAUUAUGUCAUAAAAUUUCUCGGGGUAGUUUGUUACAGUGUAAAAUAUGUCACUUCCUGUUGCCAGUAGGUGGUGCUAUGACUAUAACUGAAUAUGGGCAUAUCAAUCUGUUCAGGUCAGGAGUCUUAUCAAACAUGUGAAGUUUGUGGCAGAUUGGACAUUGUAUGUCUGAGUUAUAGCAACUUCAUUUUUCACGGCGAAUCAUCGAAAUUCGUCAGGCCGCCACGGACACGCCCUUCAACGAAAACUCAAGAUCUUCGCAAUUUAACAUCGCAAAGGCCUUUAGAUUAGGCAUACCAAAUAUGGGGUUGAUCUGAAUAAAUCUCUAGGAGGAGUUCGUUUAAAUACGACGCAUGGAAAUGGCAAAAAUUACACAAAUUUUGCUCAUAAAAUUAAAAAUAUCCGACUUCCUGUUCGGUUUCGGAUUUUGCUCCAAGAGUCUUUUUUGUAGGUACUGAUGCUUUACAUAUGUGUGCCAAUUUUCGUGCAUGUACGUGAAACACAGCUCGAGGGCUGUUGAUUUUUUUACGGUAGGUGGCGCUGUCGAGCCAUU
ensembl:lncRNA